rnacentral:rRNA from 1 species
GACGAACGCUGGCGGCGUGCUUAACACAUGCAAGUCGAACGGAAAGGCCCUGCUUUCAGGGUUCUCGAGUUGCGAACGGGUGAGUAACACGUGGGUGAUCUGCCCCUUACUUUGGGAUAAGCCUGGUCAACUGGGUCUAAUACUGGAUAGGACCAUGCUGUAGGUGGUGUGUUGUAAAGAUUAGUUUCGGUAAGGUAUGAGCUCUCGACCUAUCAGCUUGUUGUUGGGUUAUUGGCCUACUAAGGCGUUGCCGGGUCGCCGGCCUGAAAGGGUGGGAGGCAACGUUGGGACUGCGACGCGGCCCAGCCGCCUACGGGCGGCAGCAGUGGGGAAUAGUGUAAAAUGGGAGCAAGCCUGAUGCAGCGACGCGGCGUGGGGGAUGAAGGUCUUCGGGUUGUAAACUCCUUUCAGCCAUGACGAAGCCCUUGUGGUGACGGUAGUGGUAGAAGAAGCACCGGCUAACUACGUG